UACGUAGGGUGCGAGCGUUAAUCGGAAUUACUGGGCGUAAAGGGCGCGUAGGCGGCCCGCUAAGUCGAACGUGAAAUCCCCGAGCUCAACUCGGGAACUGCGUCCGAUACUGGCGGGCUUGAAUCCGGGAGAGGGAUGCGGAAUUCCAGGUGUAGCGGUGAAAUGCGUAGAGAUGUGGAGGAACACCGAUGGCGAAGGCAGCCUUCUGGGCCAACACUGACGCUCAUGCACGAAAGCGUGGGGAGCAAACAGG
rnacentral:rRNA from 1 species